UACGAAAGGUGCAAGCGUUACUCGGAAUCACUGGGCGUAAAGCGCACGUAGGCGGACUCGUAGGUCAAUUGUGAAAUACCUGGGCUCAACCCGGGAACUGCAGUUGAAACCGCUUGUGUUGAAUACCUGAGAGGGUGGGGGAAUACCUGGUGGAGAAGUGAAAUUCGUAGAGAUCAGGUGGAACACCGGAGGCGAAGGCGCCUGCCUGGCAGUGUAUUGACGCUGAGGUGCGAAAGUGCGGGGAGCAAACAGG
rnacentral:rRNA from 1 species